rnacentral:rRNA from 1 species
AUUGAACGCUGGCGGCAUGCCUAACACAUGCAAGUCGAGCGGACACACGAGGAGCUCUCUCCCCUGACGUUGGCGACGGACGGGUGAGUAACACGUAUAUAACCUACCUAUAAGACUGGGGUAACGACGGGGGACCGGAUCCAAUACCCGCUAAUAUGUUGAACCGCAUGGAUCAAUAGUGCUAGCCGGUUUUGCUGACACUUAUAGAUGGUUCCAGGUCGGAUUAGCUAGUUGGUAAGGUAACGGCCUACCAAGGCGACGAUGCGUAGCCGAUCUGAGAGGAUGAUCAGCCACACUGGAACUGAGACACGGUCCAGACUCCUACGGGAGGCAGCAGUGGGGAAUAUUGGACAAUGGGCGAAAGCCUGAUGCAGCCACGCCGCGUGUGUGAUGAAGGUCUUCGGAUUGUAAAGCUCUUUUAGUAGGGAGGAAGAAAAGUAUGUUAAUACCUGGCUGUCUUGACGGUACCUAAAGAAUAAGCACCGGCUAACUUCGUG